rnacentral:misc_RNA from 1 species
UUUUCGUGAAAUUCCCUCAGCCGGAAAGCCGACGGCAAUUUUCCGGCGAUAUCCUCAAUCCACGAUCAUUGGAAAUGGUAUCCCCAGAGAACACUAAUUGGCUGAUCGAGUGCGGCUUUAUCGACGAUAUCCCUGUUCCUGAUGCAAAUUUCUCUGUACCGGUUACCGGCUUUUCGUGGCCAGUGCAAAACCCAAAUGGUUCA